rnacentral:tRNA from 1 species
GCCCCGUUCGUCUAGCGGUUUAGGACGUCGCCUUUUCAGGGCGAAGGUCGCGAGUUCGAAUCUCGCACGGGGUA